GUGCCAGCGCCGCGGUAAUACCGGCAGCCCGAGUGAUGGCCGAUCUUAUUGGGCCUAAAGCGUCCGUAGCUGGCCGCGCAAGUCCAUCGGGAAAUCCACCCGCCCAACGGGUGGCCGUCCGGUGGAAACUGCACGGCUUGGGACCGGAAGGCGCGACGGGUACGUCCAGGGUAGGAGUGAAAUCCCGUAAUCCUGGACGGACCACCGGUGGCGAAAGCGCCUCGAGAAGACGGACCCGACGGUGAGGAACGAAAGCCAGGGUCUCGAACCGGAUUAGAUACCCGGGUAGUCC
rnacentral:rRNA from 1 species